rnacentral:rRNA from 1 species
GACGAACGCUGGCGGCAUGCCUAAUACAUGCAAGUUGAGCGCUUAAGGUUGGCCCUCGUACCAACUGGAUGAGCAGCGGACGGGUGAUUAACGCGUAGGGAAUCUGCCUUUGAGCGGGGGACAACAUAUGGAAACGUAUGCUAAUACCGCAUAAAAACUUUAAACACAAGUUUUAAGUUUGCAAGAUGCAAUUGCAUCACUCAAAGAGGAUCCCGAGUUGUAUUAGCUAGUUGGUGAGGUAAAGGCUCACCAAGGCGAGGAUACAUAGCCGACCCGAGAGGGUGAGCGGUCAAGUUGGGACGGGAGAACGGGCCGAAACCCUACGGGAGGCAGCAGGAGGGGAUCUUUGGCAAAGGACGAAAGGCUGACCGAGCGACGACGCGUGAGUGAAGGAGGUUGUCGGGUCGGAAAACUCUGUUAGUUGAGAAGAACGUUGGGGAGUUUGGGAAGCUCAUCAAGUGACGGUAACUACAGAAGAAGGGACGGCUAACUUCGUG